rnacentral:sRNA from 1 species
UGAUCAAGUGGAAGAAAGAUGGCAUCCAUCUAGCCUUGGGAAUGGAUGAAAGGAAGCAGCAACUUUCAAAUGGGUCUCUGCUGAUACAAAACAUACUUCAUUCCAGACACCACAAGCCAGAUGAGGGACUUUACCAAUGUGAGGCAUCUUUAGGAGAUUCUGGCUCAAUUAUUAGUCGGACAGCAAAAGUUGCAGUAGCAGGGCAAUGAAAAAUAGGCAACAAAUCCUGAGACAUACAUAUUGUAAUCUUGGAUCAGAUAUCUGCCUUUGCAGUCUGUGAACACAAACUGGCAAGCCUGAAUUGAGUUUUCAAAAAGUUAAAUCUAUGGAGAUUUAUUGGCAAGCAGUGCCCAAAUCCCUUGGAAUAAAAGAUUCACUUUUGACCAGUGGAUCUACUAUUAUGUUAAUGCAAUCAAUAUAGUUUGUACUGACCAGAGCAGGCGUUUGAGAUUGAGUGACCUUGCAAUCAUUUCCGAAACACGUACAGGGCACUCCUCUCAGCCUUCUUAAUGGCUUU